CUCUUUGUCAAGAGAGAUCUGAAGGCAGUGUUAGGCAGAGGCCUGAUCUGAAGGGCAACAAGAGCAUCAGGCUUUGUGUGGAUGCUGCAGCUCGAGCUGAGUGCUUCAGUC
rfam:Acanthisitta chloris contig105642, whole genome shotgun sequence.